CGUAUGCUUCCGGGGACGGGGAGUCCCAAGGAGGGACUGAGAGGUCGCCAUCGAGAGGCGACGACCCGAUGAACCUGAUCCAGAUCAUGCUGGCGUAGGGAGGAAGCCGAAGCGGCGCG
rnacentral:ncRNA from 2 species